rnacentral:rRNA from 1 species
UACGAAGGGGCUAGCGUUGCUCGGAAUCACUGGGCGUAAAGGGUGCGUAGGCGGGUCUUUAAGUCAGGGUGAAAUCCUGGAGCUCAACUCCAGAACUGCCUUUGAUACUGAGGAUCUUGAGUUCGGGAGAGGUGAGUGGAACUGCGAGUGUAGAGGUGAAAUUCGUAGAUAUUCGGCAAGAACACCAGUGGCGAAGGCGGCUCACUGGCCCGAUACUGACGCUGAGGCACGAAAGCGUGGGGAGCCAAACAGG